UACGUAGGGUGCAAGCGUUAAUCGGAAUUACUGGGCGUAAAGCGUGCGCAGGCGGCUAUGCAAGACAGAUGUGAAAUCCCCGGGCUCAACCUGGGAACUGCAUUUGUGACUGCAUGGCUAGAGUACGGUAGAGGGGGAUGGAAUUCCGCGUGUAGCAGUGAAAUGCGUAGAUAUGCGGAGGAACACCGAUGGCGAAGGCAAUCCCCUGGACCUGUACUGACGCUCAUGCACGGAAGCGUGGGGAGCAAACAGG
rnacentral:rRNA from 1 species